ensembl:lncRNA
GACACAGUGAUAGGCAGUUCAGCGCUCCAUGUUGCGGCGCUGCGUGGCACUGUGCACCGACUGGGCAGUGGAUGCACACAAACGCACGUACGCGCGCGUACACACGCACACACACACUCGCACACUCACGCGCGCGCACGCAUGACUAGUUGUGAAUGGCCGACGAGGCUUGGCACGUUUCGUUUGCGUGGCGAGAAGUAGCCGUCGGUCCGGACGCCUCUACCUGCUGCAGACCGUGCCCGCGCCGCGCACACCCAUGGGUGUCGCUGAUGUGACCGCCUCCUGCGUCGGGACCGAACGGGGCCGCUUCGAUCGGCGCGGUAGUUAUUUUCAGAGCCGCUCGCUCCAGCUAUUCGGGACCGACUGGAAACGUGCGGGCCGGGCGCGCUGAGUCGGAUUGGGGAGCCGCACCGGAGCGCUGCAGCAAGACGCGGUACCGGAGCCCGAGCAGACGCGGUACCGCAGCCGCAGCGGACGAGGAAGAGGAGGAAGCGCGGAUGUGAUGCCAACAAUUGGCCCGAAAAAAAAAGGGUCAACUCGAGGAAAGAUUUUUCUGUAGUCUGGUCCAGGUCAUCUGCUGCAGUCAUGUUUAGGAACAGCCUGAAGAUGUUGCUGACGGGAGGGAAGGGAAACCGCAAGAGUCGCAGCAGCGGUGAGUUCUGUCCUUGGACGCCGCCGCGCCACCCGGUCGUCACCCGGUCAGCACACGGGACGCGUUCGCCGCUUCUGUGGGGCUGUUUUAGGAAACCGGGACACGCAGCUCGGCGGUGGAAAUGUAUUCUGGUUCUCUAAAGAGCAAUCUGUGACCGCUUUUCUGCCCAAAAUAGAUAAAUAGAUUUGUAUUAUUUCCGCUCUGCGUGGCAGUGGUUGCUUUCCGGAUUUGUCGCCCAGCUGAAUCAAACCGUCUUCGCAGUCAGUGGCUCGGUAGCACCUGCUUCAUGUGGAGGCUGGUUUCCCUCCUGCAUCCAACAUAUAGGGACCCGACUGUUUAACGAUCGCACGCCUUCGCUGUACCAUCAACGCUGCGAUAAAGGCACAGUCUUAAUCUCCUCGCAAAGAAAACUCCUGCAGCUGUUUCACAAUAAAAGCUUCCCGGCAGACCAACUGCUUUUUUGCAGGUCGGGUGAACCUCAAGUUUUUCCAAGGUUGGUUUAGAACACGGUUCUAUCCAUGUUAAUAUCAUUGCGAAGUCUCAUUGUCCUACUGUUUUGAGACGCUUAAAUGUGGAAUUGAAUUUGAUCUCAUCUGGCAUUGAAAAGGGGAUUUAAUUCGGUAAAGAAACAAAUAAAUAAUUGUGUGGCGUUUAUAGACCAACCUGCAUGUCCCCUUUCCUCCAGUCAGGUGAAAUAACGCGGUAGCCAUGUCACUCAGAACCGCUUGUCCUACACGUGCAUAACC